rnacentral:rRNA from 1 species
GAUGAACGCUAGCUACAGGCUUAACACAUGCAAGUCGAGGGACCGGCGCACGGGUGAGUAACACGUAUCCAACCUGCCCUUUACUCGGGGAUAGCCUUUCGAAAGAAAGAUUAAUACCCGAUAUAAAGGAUGGGGAUGCGUUCCAUUAGGUUGUUGGUGAGGUAACGGCCCACCAAGCCUUCGAUGGAUAGGGGUUAUGAGAGGAAGGACACCCACAUUGUAACUGAGGCACGGUCCAAACGCGUACGGGAGGCAGGAGUGAGGAAGAGUGGGAAAUGGGCGCUAGCCUGAACCAGCCAAGUAGCGUGAAGGAGGAAGGCUUAUGGGUCGUAAACUUCUUUUAUAUAAGAAUAUGUAUUAUAUGAAUAAGGCACGGCUAACUCCGUGCCAGCCGCCGCGGUAAUUC